AGUGAACGCUGGCGGUAGGCCUAACACAUGCAAGUCGAACGGCAGCACAGUAAGAGCUUGCUCUUACGGGUGGCGAGUGGCGGACGGGUGAGGAAUACAUCGGAAUCUACUUUUUCGUGGGGGAUAACGUAGGGAAACUUACGCUAAUACCGCAUACGGCCUACGGGUGAAAGCAGGGGAUCUUCGGACCUUGCGCGAUUGAAUGAGCCGAUGUCGGAUUAGCUAGUUGGCGGGGUAAAGGCCCACCAAGGCGACGAUCCGUAGCUGGUCUGAGAGGAUGAUCAGCCACACUGGAACUGAGACACGGUCCAGACUCCUACGGGAGGCAGCAGUGGGGAAUAUUGGACAAUGGGCGCAAGCCUGAUCCAGCCAUACCGCGUGGGUGAAGAAGGCCUUCGGGUUGUAAAGCCCUUUUGUUGGGAAAGAAAAGCAGCAGGUUAAUACCCCGCUGUUCUGACGGUACCCAAAGAAUAAGUACCGGCUAACUUCGUG
rnacentral:rRNA from 1 species